GGCUAAGCAAGAUCGCGCUCCAUGGCCGAAGAAUGUGUGGUCGGUGUACGUCCGUCUGUAUUUCAUUUUGAUGGGUGGGGUGCCAUGUGCUCGAAAAAUCUAUAGGUCUGUCCUUCUGACUACUUUGCCUGCGGGUUAAUUUGACUCCCUCAGCGGCGGCGACGAUUCUUUCGAAUGUCUGCCCUAUCAACUUUCGAUGGUACUUUAGGCGCCUACCAUGGUGACCACGGGUAACGGGGAAUCACGGUUCGAUUCCGGAGAGGGAGCCUGAGAAACGGCUACCACAUCCAAGGAAGGCAGCAGGCGCGCAAAUUACCCAUUUCCGACUCGGAGAGGUUGUGACGAAAAAUAACAAUACAGGUCUCUUUCGAGGCCCUCUAAUUGGAAUGAGCGUAUCCUAAACCCAUGGGCGAGGACCCAUUGGAGGGCAAGUCUGGUGCCAGCAGCCGCGGUAAUUCCAGCUCCAAUAGCGUAUAUUAAAGUUGCUGCAGUUAAAAAGCUCGUAGUUGGAUCUCGGGAGUGGGCUGGCGGUCCGCCGCGAGGCGAGCCACCGCCUGUCCCGGACCCUGUCUCCCGGCGCCCCCCGGAUGCCCUUAACUGGGUGUCCGGUCAAAUCGGGGCCCGGAGCGUUUACUUUGAAAAAAUUAGAGUGUUCAAAGCAGGCCGCCCGUCGCCGCUGAAUACCGCAGCUAGGAAUAAUGGAAUAGGACUCCGGUUCUAUUCUGUGGGUCUCUGGAACCCGGGGCCAUGAUUAAGAGGGACGGCCGGGGGCAUUCGUAUUGCGCCGCUAGAGGUGAUAUUCUUGGACCGGCGCAAGACGGACGAGAGCGAAAGCAUUUGCCAAGAAUGUUUUCAUUAAUCAAGAACUAAAGUCGGAGGUCGAAGACGAUCAGAUACCGUCGUAUUCCGACCUGUGGAUAGAUCGCUCGACCCGCGAGCCGCCGCCAUAAUUCCCAUGUCCCCUCGCGGAGCGAGCGGGAAACCCCGAGUCUCUUGGGUUCCGGGGGGAGUAUGGUUCGCAAAGCUCAAACCAGACCCACUUGACCGGCCUGUUUUUGGUAGGCCGUUG
rnacentral:rRNA from 1 species